rnacentral:rRNA from 1 species
UACGUAGGGUGCGAGCGUUAAUCGGAAUUACUGGGCGUAAAGCGUGCGUAGGCGGUUUUGUAAGCCAGAUGUGAAAUCCCCGGGCUUAACCUGGGAAUGGCAUUUGGGACUGCAAGGCUGGAGUUUGGCAGAGGAGACUGGAAUUCCUGGUGUAGCAGUGAAAUGCGUAGAUAUCAGGAGGAACACCGAUGGCGAAGGCAGGUCUCUGGGCUGACACUGACGCUCAUGCACGAAAGCGUGGGGAGCAAACAGG